CCAACGGGAGGCAGCAGUGGGGGAUAUUGCACAAUGGGGGAAACCCUGAUGCAGCGACGCCGCGUGGGCGAAGAAGUAUUUCGGUAUGUAAAGCCCUAUCAGCAGGGAAGAAGAAAUGACGGUACCUGAGUAAGAAGCACCGGCUAAAUACGUGCCAGCAGCCGCGGUAAUACGUAUGGUGCAAGCGUUAUCCGGAUUUACUGGGUGGAAAGGGAGCGCAGGCGGCACGGCAAGCCUGAUGUGAAAGCCCGCGGCCCAACCGCGGGACUGCAUUGGGUACUACCGGGCUGGAGUGGCGGAGAGGGAGGCGGAAUUCCUGGUGUAGCGGUGAAAUGCGUAGAUAUUAGGAGGAACACCGGUGGCGAAGGCGGCCUACUGGACGGUGACUGACGCUGAGGCUCGAAAGCGUGGGGAGCAAACAGGAUUAGAUACCCGGGUAGUC
rnacentral:rRNA from 1 species